rnacentral:rRNA from 1 species
GAUUUGUUGGGCGGCGAGCGGCGGACGGGUGAGUAAUGGCUGGGAACCUGCCCUGACGUGGGGGAUAACAGUUGGAAACGACUGCUAAUACCGCAUGAUGUCUUCGGACCAAAGAGGAGGACCUUCGGGCUUCUCGCGUCGGGAUGGGCCCAGUUGGGAUUAGCUAGUUGGUGAGGUAAUGGCUCACCAAGGCGACGAUCCCUAGCUGGUUUGAGAGGAUGAUCAGCCACACUGGAACUGAGACACGGUCCAGACUCCUACGGGAGGCAGCAGUGGGGAAUAUUGCACAAUGGGCGCAAGCCUGAUGCAGCCAUGCCGCGUGUGUGAAGAAGGCCUUCGGGUUGUAAAGCACUUUCAGCAGUGAGGAAGGGUAAUGAGUUAAUACCUCAUUAUCUUGACGUUAGCUGCAGAAGAAGCACCGGCUAACUCCGUGCCAGCAGCCGCGGUAAUACGGAGGGUGCGAGCGUUAAUCGGAAUUACUGGGCGUAAAGCGCAUGCAGGCGGUUUGUUAAGCAAGAUGUGAAAGCCCCGGGCUCAACCUGGGAACCGCAUUUUGAACUGGCAGGCUAGAGUCUUGUAGAGGGGGGUAGAAUUUCAGGUGUAGCGGUGAAAUGCGUAGAGAUCUGAAGGAAUACCGGUGGCGAAGGCGGCCCCCUGGACAAAGACUGACGCUCAGAUGCGAAAGCGUGGGGAGCAAACAGGAUUAGAUACCCUGGUAGUCCACGCUGUAAACGAUGUCUACUUGGAGGUUGCGGUCUUGAACUGUGGCUUUCGGAGCUAACGCGUUAAGUAGACCGCCUGGGGAGUACGGUCGCAAGAUUAAAACUCAAAUGAAUUGACGGGGGCCCGCACAAGCGGUGGAGCAUGUGGUUUAAUUCGAUGCAACGCGAAGAACCUUACCUACUCUUGACAUCCACAGAAUUCGCUAGAGAUAGCUUAAUGCCUUCGGGAACUGUGAGACAGGUGCUGCAUGGCUGUCGUCAGCUCGUGUUGUGAAAUGUUGGGUUAAGUCCCGCAACGA